CCUACGGGAGGCAGCAGUGGGGAAUAUUGGGCAAUGGGCGCAAGCCUGACCCAGCAACGCCGCGUGAAGGAAGAAGGCUUUCGGGUUGUAAACUUCUUUUAUCAGGGACGAAGCAAGUGACGGUACCUGAUGAAUAAGCCACGGCUAACUACGUGCCAGCAGCCGCGGUAAUACGUAGGUGGCAAGCGUUAUCCGGAUUUACUGGGUGUAAAGGGCGUGUAGGCGGGAGUGCAAGUCAGAUGUGAAAACUAUGGGCUCAACCCAUAGCCUGCAUUUGAAACUGUACUUCUUGAGUGCUGGGGAGGAAAUGGGAAUUCCGGGGGUAGGGGGGAAAGGGGUAGAAAAACGGAGGAAAACCAGUGGCGAAGGCGGAUGGCGGGAAAGAAACUGAGGUUGGGGGGCGAAAGCGUGGGAGCAAACAGGAUUAGAUACCCCUGUAGUC
rnacentral:rRNA from 1 species